UUCCUACCCGUUUUCUCCUCCAAUAAAGAUCUAAAGGGCCCCAAAAUGUGUCUCCACAAGUUAAAUUCCGUUGCCGAAUCCAUCUCCUUAAGUCCCUUCACUCACUUACACACAGUGACCGUAUAUAGCUUAGCGUCAAAUCAAAUCAAAAUCACCCCUAUUUACGUGCUCCCUUCAUUCCGUUCCCCCCCUCUUUCAAACUCACCCUCUAGCUUCAUAUUCAAGCUGUCUUUUCUUUUCGCCCUUUACCUUUAUUUUAAUUUCCACAAAAAUAAUUAUUAUUUCAACUCAAUAAAUACUAGAAUUUUUUUCUCAUCACAAUAA